UACGUAGGGUGCGAGCGUUGUCCGGAAUUAUUGGGCGUAAAGAGCUCGUAGGCGGUGUGUCACGUCGGCCGUGAAAACCUGGGGCUUAACUCUGGGCGUGCGGUCGAUACGGGCAUCACUAGAGUUCGGCAGGGGAGACUGGAAUUCCUGGUGUAGCGGUGAAAUGCGCAGAUAUCAGGAGGAACACCAGCGGCGAAGGCGGUGCUCUGGGCCGGUACUGACGCUGAGGAGCGAAAGCGUGGGGAGCGAACAGG
rnacentral:rRNA from 1 species